GAGUUUGAUUCUGGCUCAGAUUGAACGCUGGCGGCAUGCCUUACACAUGCAAGUCGAACGGCAGCACGGAGCUUGCUCUGGUGGCGAGUGGCGAACGGGUGAGUAAUAUAUCGGAACGUACCCUAGAGUGGGGGAUAACGUAGCGAAAGUUACGCUAAUACCGCAUACGAUCUAAGGAUGAAAGUGGGGGAUCGCAAGACCUCAUGCUCGUGGAGCGGCCGAUAUCUGAUUAGCUAGUUGGUGGGGUAAAAGCCUACCAAGGCAUCGAUCAGUAGCUGGUCUGAGAGGACGACCAGCCACACUGGAACUGAGACACGGUCCAGACUCCUACGGGAGGCAGCAGUGGGGAAUUUUGGACAAUAGGCGAAAGCCUGAUCCAGCAAUGCCGCGUGAGCGAAGAAGGCCUUCGGGUUGUAAAGCUCUUUUGUCAGGGAAGAAACGGUGGGAGCUAAUAUCUCUUGCUAAUGACGG
rnacentral:rRNA from 1 species